rnacentral:rRNA from 1 species
UACAGAGGUCUCAAGCGUUGUUCGGAUUCAUUGGGCGUAAAGGGUGCGUAGGUGGCGCCGUAAGUCAGGUGUGAAAUCUCGGGGCUUAACCCCGAAACUGCACUUGAUACUGCGGUGCUCGAGUACUGGAGAGGAGAUUGGAAUUUACGGUGCAGCAGUGAAAUGCGUAGAUAUCGUAAGGAAGACCAGUGGCGAAGGCGAAUCUCUGGACAGUUACUGACACUGAGGCACGAAGGCCAGGGGAGCAAACGGG